rnacentral:tRNA from 1 species
CAAGCUAGAGCUUGUUAAGCGUUUUAUUUACAUUAAAAAGUGUACUGUGUAAAUCAGUUAGUUUGA